CAUUGGCCAGGAAGUAUAACCAUAAUAAGAUGAUCUGCCACAAGUAAAUCGUGGUAUUGGAUCUUAUUUUGAAAUAUUGUUCUUAAUUUCAAAUAUGUUAUUGGGUGAAGUAUAGUCAAAGCACAAAUAAACUUUUUAUAUUGUUUAAGAAAGUCACGUGAAACUCAAUAUUGCAAGCCUAAUUUGUCUGCAAGCAGUGUACUGGUUUCAGAUAUAAAUGUUGAAUGAUGUGCUUGUCUACAUUGGAUGUUUGUAUGAAAAAUGUAUGGCAACAUCAGGUUGCUGUUUUCUCUUAGCUACAUAUAUCUGGAAAUCCCUGUGCAUCAGAGGGCAGCAGUCUUAUCCAUAUGCUAUAUAAGGGAAUAAAAUGAAACCCAAAAGUAACUUGAAGCGACUAGCUAGAUGAGGUUGCAAUUUUGUUGAGAUUUAGGGGUCCGGUUUUUUGUUAGUUUCUACUGAUGAUUGGUGUUUAAGUGAUAGGGGUGGUAUUAUUAGUUUAUGGUUAAAAUUAGUAUGAGUGGGGCAUGUGUUUACAACUCGUGUACUUAUUUUUAUGAUUUGUUAGAGUUUUGAAACUAUAAUCCAAACUUUCAAACUUGAGGUUUCAUCGCAGGGUUUUCUUUAAUACAUGAAUUCUAUAUGUUAUCUGUCGUUGACCAACUAUCCCAAAUGCUGUUAGGUUUUCAAAGGUACAUGGUUGGUGUAACUUCUCAUCUAAUUAGAUUCAUUUUCAAGUUGAAUUGAUCAGUAUGCAUGGAUUUUAAAAUUUUGGCCGAACAUAUUUGAAAAUGUUGUAUGCCAUUAUCUACAGAUCUUUUGGUGAUGUUGAUGGGUCUGAGAUCUCGGGUUGCUCCAUUAAAAGUUGUCUUUGGCGGAGAGCACGUGGAUGUCAUUAUAGGAGCUGUUGUGGCUGAUGGCAAGGUGACCCCCAAGGUGUAGGCACUAAUGAAAUACUUCUCAAGUAUCAGCAUACAGAAGACUUCCAUGCAAUCAUCUUUGUUGAGCGUGUUGUUUCUGCAUUAGUUAUGCUGAAGAUUGAUAGACGACAACAAAGUAGAGAAAGGACUAUAGUUAGGACUUUUUUCAAAUUUCAGGACCAAGUAGACAUUAGGCCUGGAACAGUUUAUCAGGUGGUGCAGUUGUGAGUCUUAAUUUUGUUGUAGGUCUUAUCCACUUCUACUGCUCUCAGCUACCUAGUGACAGGUGCUACAUUUUGGCUUGAGAUUGAUAGUUUUCUUUACCGGCCUUUUAUUAAGCUUCAAAUUAUUAUCUACAAUUUAGAGACUUCAUGGGUAGUGUACUCAUAAACUUGGCUAC
rnacentral:sRNA from 1 species